GACGAACGCUGGCGGCGUGCUUAACACAUGCAAGUCGAACGGAAAGGCCCUGCUUUUGUGGGGUGCUCGAGUGGCGAACGGGUGAGUAACACGUGAGUAACCUGCCCUUGACUUUGGGAUAACUUCAGGAAACUGGGGCUAAUACCGGAUAGGAGCUCCUGCUGCAUGGUGGGGGUUGGAAAGUUUCGGCGGUUGGGGAUGGACUCGCGGCUUAUCAGCUUGUUGGUGGGGUAGUGGCUUACCAAGGCUUUGACGGGUAGCCGGCCUGAGGGUGACCGGCCACAUGGGGACUGAGAUACGGCCCAGACUCCUACGGGAGGCAGCAGUGGGGAAUAUUGCACAAUGGGCGGAAGCCGGAUGCAGCAACGCCGCGUGCGGGAUGACGGCCUUCGGGUUGUAAACCGCUUUCGCCUGUGACGAAGCGGGAGUGACGGUAAUGGGUAAAGAAGCACCGGCUAACUACGUG
rnacentral:rRNA from 1 species